rnacentral:rRNA from 1 species
UACGUAGGUGGCAAGCGUUGUCCGGAAUUAUUGGGCGUAAAGCGCGCGCAGGCGGUCCUUUAAGUCUGAUGUGAAAUCUCCAGGCUCAACCUGGAGGGGUCAUUCGAUACUGCCGUGACUAGAGUUCGGUAGAGGAGUGUGGAAUUCCUGGUGGAGCGGUGAAAUGCGCAGAGAUCAGGAGGAACACCCGUAGCGAAGGCGGCACUCUGGGCCGAUACUGACACUGAGGAGCGAAAGCGUGGGGAGCGAACAGG